rnacentral:rRNA from 1 species
CCUACGGGAGGCAGCAGCAAGGAAUUUUUGGCAAUGGGCGCAAGCCUGACCAAGCAACGCCGCGUGCGGGAUGACGGCCUUCGGGUUGUAAACCGCUUUUAUGGGGGAAGAAUCAGACGGUACCCCAUGAAUCAGCCCCGGCUAACUCUGUGCCAGCAGCCGCGGUAAUACAGAGAGGGCAAGCGUUGUCCGGAUUGACUGGGCGUAAAGCGUAUGUAGGUGGUACGGCAGGUGGGGUGUUACAUCUCCAGGCUUAACCUGGAGCCGCCGCUCCAAACCGCCGCACUCGAGUCGUGCAGAGGUUGGUGGAAUUGCCGGUGUAGUGGUGAAAUGCGUAGAGAUCGGCAGGAACACCGAAAGCGAAAGCAGCCAACUGGGCACGGACUGACACUGAGGUACGACAGCGUGGGGAGCGAACAGGAUUAGAUACCCUGGUAGUCCACGCCGUAAACGAUGUCUGCUCGCGUCGUGGGAGUUAUCCAUACUCCUGGGACGCUUAGCUUACGCGGUAAGCAGACCGCCUGGGAACUACGAGCGCAAGCUUAAAACUCAAAGGAAUUGACGGGGACCCGCACAAGCAGCGGAGCAUGUGGUUUAAUUCGACGAAACGCGAAGAACCUUACCUGGGUUUGACAUGUUCCUGACCGCCGUGGAACACGGCUUCCCUCACGGGCAGGAUCACAGGUGGUGCAUGGCUGUCGUCAGCUCGUGUCGUGAGAUGUUGGGUUAAGUCCCGCAACGAGCGCAACCCCUGUCGCAUGUUGCCAGCAUUUAGUUGGGGACUCAUGCAGACUGUCUGCGACAAACUUGAAUAAGGUGGG